rnacentral:rRNA from 1 species
GAUGAACGCUAGCGGCAGGCCUAAUACAUGCAAGUCGAACGAGAUUAAGAGGCUUGCUUCUUAUGAAAGUGGCGCACGGGUGCGUAACGCGUAUGCAACCUACCUUAAUCAGGGGGAUAGCCCGAAGAAAUUCGGAUUAAGACCGCAUAAAAACACAGGAUAGCAUUAUCCAAUGUUCAAAUAUUUAUAGGAUUAAGAUGGGCAUGCGUGUCAUUAGCUAGUUGGCGGGGUAACGGCCCACCAAGGCGACGAUGACUAGGGGAUCUGAGAGGAUGACCCCCCACACUGGUACUGAGACACGGACCAGACUCCUACGGGAGGCAGCAGUAAGGAAUAUUGGUCAAUGGAGGGAACUCUGAACCAGCCAUGCCGCGUGCAGGAAGACAGCCCUCUGGGUUGUAAACUGCUUUUAUUCGGGAAUAAACCUUUCUACGUGUAGGAAGCUGAAUGUACCGAAGGAAUAAGGAUCGGCUAACUCCGUG